GAUGCUAUAAUAAUCCCACUUCCUACGUCGUACGUAUCUGAUGGGAAAAGAGACCCGCUGAAGCACAGCAGCAGCCGCUGCAAGGACGGUUUUGCCGUGGUUACUAUCUAUGGGUGUAAAGCCCACAACGAGGAAUACGGAGUACUCUGCUCAUGGUCAUGGAUUAUGGAUGAUGAACAUCUUCAAAGUCUGGUCCGGACGGCUCGAGUUCGACACGCUAUGACAUGCAGUUGACAGUCACUACUGUCCAGUGUGUGUGGUCGACCUCGUGAUUCGACAAGAAACCCCAAUUGUAGACUUGACUUGAGGCACCGGACAAAGUAUGAAGAUCCCGGAGUACGCUCUGGCCACAUCUUCUUUUUGCUUUGGCUUGCCCAUGUUUUGAGUCAAGCUAGAUAACUAUCGUCUUGGUCCAUCGGUGUGGCGUUAUGGCGAGAUCGCUGGUGCAUCCCGUGGUUACCGAGUCUUUCAGCAAGAGGACAACCAUAUCGCCUCUUUGAAGCUAGAAAAGUGGCAUUGCAAAACAUCUAGAAUCGCCUCUCUGCUAACUCAAAUCAGAUCAAAUCAUAUCAAAUCAAAUAGUCAAUGACAAUUACGAUGGCAAAUCGCCAAUGGCGAUAAUUGUCAGCAUGGAGCUGAUACGAGUCUACGAUUGGCCUCGGAGAG
rnacentral:lncRNA from 1 species